CGUGUAUACAAGUAUGAAUAAAUACUUAAUAAUUAUACUAGUAAUUAAUAGUUAAUACCUAUUUUUUUUUUAUAUUGUUCCUAACAGGUGCACCAUAUAACCCGCAUGCAAGUACCUAUUCGACAUAUCCACUAGCCCCAUUCUAUCCGCCACAAGAUUACAAUUGUCAUGUUCAUUAUAAUCCUCAUCACCACCACUAUCGUCGUCAUCAUCACCGUCAUCACCAUGAUGAUUGUUAAAAAUAAGAAUGGAUCCUUAGGUGUCGUUGAAAAUAUAUCCAGUUACUUUGAAAUGCAGAAUAAUUAUUUUCGAAUUGUUUAAACUUUUACUAACC